GAAUGUGCCCUGUGCCAGUUGCAACCCACAGAAGUGGCUCCAGGGGAGCUGUAGCACAAGUUCCAGAGGCCCCAGGAACAGUUUCCACCUCCUCUUUCCUGUGCCUGGCAUACAUCUGGCCUCUGCCAUACCAGGUGACACCAUGUCUCCUCCAGUCAGUAUAGUAUCUUAGUGUGUUCUCCUGAGAGGGGCUGCCUGGAUAAACUGACAUCUUUAGGCAGAGGUAUUCUGACCCAGGACAGAAGGAGAGGACUCCUUGAGGCGUCUGGGCACUCCUACAGGAAUGCCCUUCAAGGCACUGGCUUUCGUUUCCAGAGAACUUCAAGGGACGUCUCUCCUGACAUAAUGGGAGCAGAGUCCUUUCAUCCAGCUGCCUCGAGCAGCCUCCUCCUCCUCUCUUUCCAGGGAAGAGGAAGUCUGUGUUUACUGAGUGUGUGCAUGGACUGCCUUCACAGUCAAGAUUAUCAACUGUGUUGGAUGGCGAGAAGACCCACAGAGAAAAAACAUGGCAGGGGACAUGGAGAGGUGCACAGCAUUAAAUUGGUGGUCUAAGGAGGAGAGAUUCCAGGUAGUCCUGAAAGUCCUGCCCUGACUUCCCUCAACGGCAGACUCUCCCUGGAACGUGAAACAAACCAUCUUCAGGCACCUUUCCUCCCAGGCUGGACCCCUGGAAGCAAGAAAGCCAGCAAAGCCCUCCCAGUCCCGGCUUUCCUCAACAGUCGCGCUGGCCCGGGAAUUACACGGCUCCCAUCGUGUGCCAAAGAAGCCAGUUCUUUUCAAGGAGCAUUUCUGUGGUGUUUUUUCCCUGCUUUCUGCAUCUGUGCUGACAUUCUGUGAUUCUUAGAGAACCGAUUCUGAAGAGCAAAACCAGGAGCCAAGAAUCUUCAAGCCAGAAAGACUGCUUUGAGAACAAACAGCUAGGGCCUCAGCCUACCGAGUUCACAGCGUGGGUGGGCAGACCCUGCUGGCCAACCCCAGCUCGGUGGGAAGCGGCUUCCCCUGGAAGGCGUGGAGGACACUGAGGGCAGAGGCAGGGACCCACAGACUACUCAGGCAACGGACUUCUUGGACAUGACACCAAAAGCAGGGGCAGUGUGAGAAAAUACAGCCAGGACAUCGUCAAAAUACUCCGUGUUGCCUAGUGUCUUGGGACAGGAGCAAGGGUGACGACGACCCAUCCACGGGACCACGGAACAUGCUCACGGUUGUGGAUGCUUUUCUGUCGUGUACAGCAAACCCGGUAUCGUCAAGACUGGAUUCAAAACUGGGCAACUGCUGGCUAGAGAAGGCACAGCACCUAACUCGCUGUUCUUCCAGAGAAUCUGAAUUCAGUUCCCAGCACCACAUCAGGAAGCUAACAUCCAGCUCCUGGAAAACCUCCCC
rnacentral:lncRNA from 1 species